UAGGGAAUAUUGGGCAAUGGAGGGAACUCUGACCCAGCCAUGCCGCGUGCAGGAUGAAGGCGUUAUGCGUUGUAAACUGCUUUUUAUAUAGGAAGAAAUAGUCCUUGCGAGGAAAGUUGACGGUACUAUAUGAAUAAGCACCGGCUAACUCCGUGCCAGCAGCCGCGGUAAUACGGAGGGUGCAAGCGUUGUCCGGAUUUAUUGGGUUUAAAGGGUGCGUAGGCGGUUUAUUAAGUCAGUGGUGAAAGACGGUCGCUCAACGAUUGCAGUGCCAUUGAUACUGGUAGACUUGAGUAUGAUUGAGGUAGCUGGAAUGGAUAGUGUAGCGGUGAAAUGCAUAGAUAUUAUCCAGAACACCAAUUGCGUAGGCAAGUUACUAAGUCAUAACUGACGCUGAGGCACGAAAGUGUGGGUAUCAAACAGGAUUAGAUACCCGUGUAGUCCCUGAGCGGGCUGGCAAGGCGCAU
rnacentral:rRNA from 1 species